GACGAACGCUGGCGGCGUGCUUAACACAUGCAAGUCGAACGGAAGGGCCCUGCUUUUGUGGGGUGCUCGAGUGGCGAACGGGUGAGUAACACGUGAGUAACCUGCCCUUGACUUUGGGAUAACUUCAGGAAACUGAGGCUAAUACCGGAUAGGAGCUCCUGCUGCAUGGUGGGGGUUGGAAAGUUUCGGCGGUUGGGGAUGGACUCGCGGCUUAUCAGCUUGUUGGUGGGGUAGUGGCUUACCAAGGCUUUGACGGGUAGCCGGCCUGAGAGGGUGACCGGCCACAUUGGGACUGAGAUACGGCCCAGACUCCUACGGGAGGCAGCAGUGGGGAAUAUUGCACAAUGGGCGGAAGCCUGAUGCAGCAACGCCGCGUGCGGGAUGACGGCCUUCGGGUUGUAAACCGCUUUCGCCUGUGACGAAGCGUGAGUGACGGUAAUGGGUAAAGAAGCACCGGCUAACUACGUG
rnacentral:rRNA from 1 species